ACGGAAGGCAGCAGCUAAGAAUAUUCCGCAAUGGACGAAAGUCUGACGGAGCGACGCCGCGUGGAUGAUGAAGGUCGGAAGAUUGUAAAAUCCUUUUAUGACUGAGGAAUAAUCACGGGAGUGGAAAGCCUGUGAGGUGACUGUAGGUCAUGAAUAAGCAACGGCUAAUUACGUGCCAGCAGCCGCGGUAACACGUAAGUUGCGAGCGUUGUUCGGAAUUAUUGGGCGUAAAGGGCAUGUAGGCGGUUUUGCAAGCUUGAUGUGAAAGGCAGGAGCUUAACUCCUGGACUGCGUUGAGAACUGCAUGACUAGAGUCACUGAGGGGCAAUCAGAAUUCCUGGUGUAGGGGUGAAAUCUGUAGAUAUCAGGAAGAAUACCAAUGGCGAAGGCAGGUUACCAGCAGAUGACUGACGCUGAGGUGCGAAGGUGCGGGGAGCAAACAGGAUUAGAUACCCUGGUA
rnacentral:rRNA from 1 species